rnacentral:rRNA from 1 species
CCACGGCCAUGCACAUCAACAG